rnacentral:ncRNA from 1 species
GAUAACUGGCUUCUGGCGGCCAAGCGCUCAUAGCGACGUCGCUGUCUGAUCUUUCGAUGCUGGCUCUUCCUGUCAUUGUGAAGCUGAAUUCACCAAGCGUUGAAUGUUCACCCACUAAUAGGGAACGUGAGUUAAGUUUGGACCAUCGUGAGUCGGGUU